ACAAAAUAUGUGAUCUCAAUAAAAAAACAAAAUAUGCUGCAUCUCUCUCGCACGAGAGUGAGGGUUCCCCGGCCACUGCGCCCCAUCCCUCCGCUCCAGGCAACCCUCGGUCGCCGGCUCGCUGGAGCACGACGGCAGCCAAUGGAUGCCCUGGUUGUGUGCGACGGGUGCAGUUCUCACGCGCAAGCUAGGGUUGGAGCCGCUGGCUCUUCAUCCUGCCCGCCGGUGGCGAGUCUUCCCGUCCCGACUGCCGCCUCCCCAUUAUCACAGGUUCAUCUGGGUCAUCCUUAAUUUACUCCUCACAUAAUAAAUGUGAAACCUAAUGAGGCAGGAGGAUAAAAUUGCUGUUGGGACUCUGGUGAAAGCUGCAUUGGAGAAGAGUACAUGCAAAAAUAAACAAUCAUGAUGCACUGUAAGUCCUCCCGCUGAUUUCUGAACAAUAAACAAUGAUGAUGCUCUCUUCGCUACAGAUAUUCUAAAAUUAAGGGAGUCACAAUUCUUGACUGGAUCAUAUGGGUACGCUAUAUGAAAAUGUACGAGGUGGUGUAGCAGGAGUUGGAAAAAAUGCAGCUCAAAGUGAGUGCAAGUGCAUAAUGUCCUAGAAUUAUUUUUCGGCGAAAGUUAGUAUCUUCUCAAUAUGUAAGAGGACUGUAAAUUUUGAGAAGUGGGAAAUGAAAAUCAAUACCUUUCUUAUAA